GGGAGGGGGUGUAACAUCAUCGCGCGACUUAUUGUCGAUGAAGGUGAUCAUCGUUCUACUGGGAUAUGGCAACUGAGGAUCACUCCAAAGUAAAGAUGGGAUUCAGAGAUGGGAUUGGAAUGACGUCUGGAUCAUCGAGGACAUGAGCCCAGAUCAAGGGAGGACAACUAACAUUCCGUGGGAAAAAAAGGGGGGAUUAUUCCCCAGGAGUGUUCCUGUUAUUCACGUUUAAUAUUAGCAUCACAGAAAAUGAGUAGAAAAAGUAAUGCUUAGAUUUUUGUUAAUAGUGUGAUUUACAGGGUUUUUGAAAUUUAAUUUAUACAAUCAGGAAAUCAGCAAUGUUAGAACAAUCAUUCUGCCAUGCAUCUACUACUUAUAAUAAAGGUAUUCUCUAUUCAAAUAUAUAGGGGACAAAAAUGUAUACCUUUCAAAUUUAAGUGAACAAAAUACCAUUCAAAUUUUAGUGGGCAAAAACCAAAUCAGCUUAACUAGAAACUGCAAAUCAACUGCAAUAUCAAUACGACGUAUACACCAAAUCGGAUCCCUAAAAAAAAUAACGACAAUAUAACGGGAAGGGGGGGUUAAAAUAAUAUUUAAGUUGUAUAUAGUGGUCAUUUUUAGUUAAGACUAAGUGAACACUCGAAACUGGAAACAGCAACUAGAGUGCAGUGCAGGGGUAAAAUACUCUGUGAUAAAAGUUGGUAAAUUACACACAGGGAUGAUCACAAAAAAAAUGAUCAUUCUUGGAAUGAGCUUAGAUAGGAGUAUUGGAAUAUGGUUAAAAUACAUUGAGGAUGGGAAAAGGAAUAUUAAGGUUUGUGAACAGGCUUGACGUUAUUUUUAUGUUAAACAUUUUUAAUCAUCGAUGGAAAAGGGUUUUCUUAUAUUGUUUCGACCAAACUUCAUAUUUUGAAAAGAAUUUCGAUGACCAUUAAACAAGAAUCAGCAGUAUUUUUUUUAAACAUAAAGAAAAACCACUAAACAGCUAACAUCAUCGUAUACAGGUUGUAUACGUUGAUUGAAAGUGGGCCCUCGUAUCAGGUGUCAGUAGAUUCGCAUAAUCGUACACGCUCUACAACGAAUGUUAUACAAUUCAGCAAUAAAAUUCCUGGGUUUUCUUUUAUUCUAUAUAACAACCAAAGGGUGAGAUGACACCUUAUCCACACGCACAUCCCUGAAAGAAGACAGGAGCCUAUCCAAACCUACAUCCCGAGGAGAAGACACAAGGAGAGGAUGCUAACUGUCAACACCAGACUGAGAACAGAGAGGCAACAGAAGAGCCUGGGGAUUCCAAACAUCAACCUUCCAGGGAGUCAGGAUCCUAAACGACCACACAUCUUAUAGGGAAAAUCACCUGUAGUCUGGUUCUGAUCCAAAUCUGCCAUGACAGCCUUAAAAACCAUGACCAUAGACCACAGGGGACAAGGAGACAUGACCAUGCAGGGACAGGAGGAAAGCAGCAGGCAAAGCAGGACGUGAUCUUUUGGACUGCAAAGAGAGGAACUUGAACUUAAUAAUGGUUAUAUCAAACUCCUGCCUAUACGGCGGGCUGCCAAAGGCGCCCUCUUGAGCCCAAGUUAAGAACACAAUCCUUCUUUCAAACUUCCAAGGACAUGUUCUGUAGUUCAGUAAGUGAUGAACCACUAUUGACAAUGCGAUUAUUCUCCCCUUUGGUUUCAAAUUUGGUUAUGAAAUGAGAGAUGAAACUAAUGACUUAGUAUAAACCAACGAAUUAGAACCGUAGCUAUUUUCACAUCAUUCAAAUCUGAACAAUAUUGAAACUUUGUGUCAGUAGUCAGUACAUGUAUAACAAUUCUUUUCAUGUAUAAGAAAUCAAUAAUAUCAAAAGUGUGCUGAUAAGGGAGUUGACAAACUUGGUUGCCAUGGAAAACUGGAGCCGGAUGGGAAUUUCCCCGUCUUUUUUUCCCCAAAGGAUUUUCGCGGGGUUUUCGCCCAUCCCGUAUAAUCAGCGAAUUCUUUAAAUCUGUACUUGUCAUCAAAAUAAUGUAAGUUUUGUGUUCACCUCACCUAUGUUUUAGCAAUUUAUAGUUUAUCCUAUAUCCUGCACCACUUUUCCCUGGUGAUUGUUACUUAUGUUUAAAUUAUAUUUAAAACUUUGGAAUGAAAGGCCAUGAAGGAUAUCAUACCCUUGGUAAAGAAAUACAAAACAAAUGAAGACGUUAUUCACGAAGAGGAAUCACAGUCUCGAACAAUAAUCAUGUCAGUUAUAGCAUUUUAAUCAGAACUGCUAUUAUAGCAAAGAUUUGGCGAUAUAUCUCGAUUUUUAAGAAUUACACAAAAUGUUCUUCGAAGUAGGUUGCAUUUAUAAGAAAUAAACCGGCAUUAAUAUUGAUAGAAACACAA